CCGUGUUCCUGUCCUGUUUAAUUAACGUAGAGGGAGAACUGGGUUGUGCUGGAAGUCACAGCUCUGCCUCACCACGCAGCACAGAAAGCAGCCGUGGGUUUCCUGCAAGGAUAGGGGCAGAGGCUCCUCCUGCUGGGACCCACAGCUGUGGGGCCCUCAGCUUCCUCCCACCAAACCCCAUGUGCAGCACAUCAUCCCCAGCGCCAUGGAGAUGGUCCAAACCCUGCCAUGAGAUUUGCUGUCGGCUCCAGCUCCUCCCAGCCCAGGAGACGGACAGGAGCAGCUCUCCCUACCUGUCUCCCAGCCUCUCCCAGGUGGCAGAGGCUGAGGCACGGAUGAAAUAUGUCUCCAUUCCUGCUCCCUUGCACCUGCUUUUAAAACAAUAGCUAAAUAACCUCCCUGCUGCCGGCUGCAUAAAUCACUCGUAUGGGUUUCAGUGACACGGGCAAACGCCGGAGGUUUGAGGCAGUUUUUCUGGCCAGGGGAAAAAAAUAAUUAAAAUAAAAGCUGGAGAAACUCUGUGAUCAACUCCAGAAUUCCAAUGAGGCUGCCAGGCUGGGAUGUGGUUGAGCGAACGUGAGCUCUGGGUUUCCAUGCAGGUGGGUCACGGCACAGGGACACAGUAGGAGCACCCCAGGUUUGCUGCCAGCAUUUAGGAACCAGAAUGCAGGGGACACUGUGUUGCUCUCUGCCCUACCGUGGGGAAGGCCCUGAGCAGACCCCCAGAUGGGAUCUGCAGCACUUCCAGCCUGCAGAGAUCCUCAGCACAAGGAGAGCUGCAGCGUAGCGUGAGAAGGAGGGAGAGUCUUUGGGCUAGACAGCAUAAAACUCUUGUGUAAUCAAUGAUCAAUUAUUUACAUAGCGUAAGUUACAGGGAAAGCAUCCUUUAAGUCUAAGUUUCCCAUUGAGAAGAAUUGCUCCCUGUUUAGAAAUACACUAAUUAUUCUCUUAAACAAGGAUGAGCUAUAAGUAAUUUAAGGGUUUUAUCACUCACAAUUUGCAAUAAUGUAAUUGAGCGAGCGGCAACAAAUAAAUCCCACAAUGAAAGAAAGGUGGCAGAUUCAACUCAGAGCACGAGGCAGGAUGCAGGACUGCACUGCCUGCAGCUGUCAUAGAUGGGGGUGCAGGAGAAGGAGUGACCAGGGGGGUCUUAUGGCCCAUGGAGUGCUACUGCAGCUCUGCUGCACAGCCGAGAUGCCACCAUCCCCUCCUGCCCAUUGCCGGUGUCUCCUUGCUUGGUCUGCUGCUUUCCAACCCUGACAUAACAGAAAUCCCAAUAGCUUGUCGCAAAGGACUCCAGAUGGGUUAAACGUCCACUUUUUCUCACUCUUUUUUCUUUAUUUUUCCUUUUUCCAGCACGGCCCCCAGCACUUCCCUGCCUGCGUGUCUGUGUCCUGCAGCCGGCCGGGGCUCUGCUAUCUCCCAGCAGCAGAGUGGGAACAGAAUGCUUAGCACUGCCUGGGUAAGGAACAAAGCACCCUUUGCCUCCCCACCUGCCAAUUCCCCACACCGAUGAUUAUUAUAUUCCUCCUAAAGCUGUGUUUAGGAUGAUGGCUAGAUUUCAGCUGCUGAAUGAUCCAAAUGCUCUGGAAGUCGAUGUGAAGAGGGCCCUCUGUUCAGCUGAGCUCCGGGUCAGGCAGUGAAUCUCACAAGAACAAAAGCCUAAUCCUGAUUUUCUCACCCUGCUUUGCAAACCCAUUUCAGAGCAGUUUCUCCAUUGACUUUCAGAGCCUUUGAAUCCAGCUUUCCUACACCAGAGACCCAGGCUGGGCCACGCGUUUAACAAGAGCGCAAUGAAAUGCAGCUCUCUCUCCCACAGUUGUUAAUUCUCACUCAAUGCAUUCUUAAUAUUCAAUUACUAUUUAUGUUACAUGCAGGAAAGGAUUAUCCCAUUAAACCUAAAUUAAGUGCUUCGUUCAUUAAUUAAUACGUUUUAUUUCAAGUGUUGCCAACGUUUAUCCCUGGAAACGUAAUAUUUAAAACCAAAACGCACAGAAGAAGGAAAGGGAUCUUGUUUGCUUGUUGCUCUUAUAUUUGCUCAGAGAUAUUAAUGCGUUCUGGAGCCCCUAAAGUAUUCACCAGCUGCUCGUCAGGAGAGGGACUGCCUCAAAGGGGAGCAGAGCAAAAAGAGCCUGGAGGUGAUAGGAUGGAGGUGAUGAGACAGAGCCUUUCACCCCCACAUUUCUCCCAUGAACCUCAGAAUUAGCCCAACUGGGAUGUCUCUGCCCUUUCCCAGCCCUAUGUCCAUUGGACAGAACAGCCCCGGGCUGUUGCUGUGCGGUGUUGGCAGGAGAUCAUCAGGGUCCUGGCAGCUGGCGGGGUCAGAGCCCAGCAUAGCGCUGCUCGGGGCUGAUGCCAUCUCUGCUCGGAUCAUCCGCAGCACUGUGAUUGCUGCACAGGGACCAACUCCGGAUAUUAAAGCUCCUCAGAGAGCCACAUCCCAACCCAGCACCGCUCAACAUCCCCAAAAUUACCCCAGGGACAAAUUGGCCCACCAGACCUACAGCGCUGACAGCAACAGCUCAGAAACAGCGUGAAAUCUAAAUUAAGUUGAGAGUCUCUUUUCUAAACAAAUUCCUUCUUGAAGAACCAAACCCAGACUUCAUUAUAACAACUCAAUUAUACACGAGGCUGAGCUCCAGUGCGCUCACAGAGACAAGAAGUUUGCCGUGAGUGUUUCACGCUUCGCUCAAAUUAUGACUUCCUUCAAUGCAAAUGGGAGGUUCGGCGAGCAAUGCACAUUUCCCCAAUGCUGCUCAGAAAACAAAUUACAUCGAUGUCUAUUAGGAAGCAGAAGCAGGGCUUCUGUAGGAACAGUGGUUUCUCCAGGGUGAAUUUCUGUGAGGUCUCUCCAGGGUUGCGUUGUGGGGUGAGAAAGCAAAGAGUGACCCCAAAGAGCCUCCAGGACAGCAGAGCCAUCCCUGCUGCUCUGCACAGAACUCAGCCCACUGCACCGUGGGUUUGAUGGAUGCUAUUGAAGCACCAGCAGCAGGAGCAGAUCUCAGCACAUGGGCAGUUCUUGGGGGGCUGACCCCCUCUGGGGGGGACCAGGGGGCAAAGCCCUCUCCUGUGGCCCCAUCUCUCUCCCAAUCAAUAAACAAUGAGCAAAUAUGCAGCAUGAGAGCAGUAAAUAAACUUCUGUAGCCCCCCGGUGUCCCUCUGCCAAAUAAACUCAGUAGGGAUACAUUUUUUCUUGAGCCAUCUUUCACACCAAAUAAAGUCUUGAGGAAUAAAGUGACACUUCUGGCAGGUGCUGAAGCCGUGCUCACAGAGGCACUCAGUGUGUCCUUCUCCUGUCGCUCAUCGUCCCCAAAGCUGCAGAACACCCAUUUGCAAGGACAGACCCCACAUCAACACUGGUGAGAGGCAGAAGCUCAGAGCAGCAUCAUAGUCUCAGCCUUUGCUCUGAAUACAGUGCACAGCAGCUUAGGAAACACAAAUGUGUGACUUCCAUCCCUGCUUGGAGGCACUGGGGAACGCUGCUGCUCACCCUCCUGAGUUCCCACCCAACGUUAUCUCGCUUUCUAUCACAGCAGCAGCUUCCAAUGGGCUCAGAGUGAGGUCGUGAGAUUUUGUGUUCUUCAUACAAUUCCAUCAAACUGCCUCAGGAAGAAGAAAAUAAACCCUGCAAUAAGUCUUCCUGCUGAUUAUUUGCUGGGAUGGAUGGAUGGAUGGAUGGAUGGAUGGAUGGAUGGAUGGAUGGAUGGAUGGAUGGAUGGAUAAAAAAAUAAAAGAAGAAGAAUUUACAGGUAAUUUCCUUGUCAAAAGUUCCUGUCUAUAAAUACAAUCAAGAUAAGAAUGACAUAGCAAAUAGCUCUUUUUCUCUCCUGAAUGAAUUAUUCAGUUCACCACUGAUCCUCUCUAACUGCUUUAUAUUGCCUUCUGCUUUCUGUAUUUAUUUUACUUUAUUUAGUGCUGUAGAGAAGCGCCGCCAAUAAUUGAAAUGAAUUCAGGCAAUUGCAGGAUCCCACAAAUCCCUCCUGGGGCCCCAGCUCAGCCCGAGCCUCCCCUGCUCCUUCCUCACUCUUCUCUCCAAGCCAUCACAAACCGUCUGUGUGUCCCAGCACAACAUGUGGAUCUGGGCUCUCUUCUUAUGCAGAAGCAGUCCCAACAGCAGGAGAACUGGUGUUGGAAUCACCCAGUCCUGGACAAGCCCUGCUUUGGGUUGCAGCUGUGUUUUAGGAGAGGUUUAUGGGAGCCACAGGGAUGGGAAUCAUAGAAUCGUGGAAUGGUUUAGGUUGGAAGGGACCUCUACAACCACUGAGUCUCAAACCCCCGCUGGAUGCCCCUCACAAGAUCAGACCAGGGAUGCCCUUUGGCACCUCCAGGGAUGGGGAACCCACAGCUCUGGGCAGCAGUGCCAGCACCUCAACCCCUCUGAGUAAAGAAUUUUUUUUUCCUAGCACCUGAAGACAUCCAUGAUUGCCCCAACCCAGGUGGAACACCUUGGCCUUGCAGAACCUCAUUUGGCUCUUUUGGGCCCACUUCUCAAACCUGUCCAGGUCCCUCUGGAUGGCGUCCCUUCUUUCUGUUGUAUCAACUGCACCCCUCAGCUUGAUGUCAUCAGUAAAGUUGCUGUGGGUGGACUUGGUUCCACUGUCUAUGUCACUGCAGAGCACGAGUCCCAGGAUAGACCUCUGGGGGACACCACUCCUCACCAACCUCCACCCACACAUAGAGCCAUUGAUAACGACUCUGAUUAUGACCACCCAACCAAGUCCUCCUCCAACCAACAGUCCAGCCUUCAAAUCCAUCUCUCCAACUUAGCGUGAGGUGUCAGACCAUGUCAAAGGCCUUGCACAAGGGAGCAGCCAUGUGUUCUCCUUCCCAGCACGGAGGGAUGGAGAGAAGCCCAAGGAAUGGUUAUCGACCCACUGAACUGCAAAUGUGUGGUUGAGGAGAUUGAGAACAGCCAAGCCCAGGAAAAUUCCCCUUGGUCAUGUUCCUUAAUUGUUCGUCCUUGGAGAGACAGCAACCUCUGCUCUAUACGCCUGUGCUGGAUUUUUUGUUUUCUUUUUAAAAGUAAGACAGAAAUCCUCGUAACACAUCAAUAAAGAGCCACGCUGUAGACAGCAUCUGAAAGCAAGAAAAUAAUAUUACUACAGAAAAGGAAAAAAAAAAAAAAAAAAGCAACACAACAGCACCAAAAGCUAAUAAAAGCAUUACUCGAGAAACAGAACUGUUUCGAAGCAGCCAAAGAAUAUCCACAAUGAUGAUUCAAUUACACAGAAGAUUAGUGUUGGUCUGUCUGCGGAGCCAAGAGUUUCUCACGGAGGUUUUGAGCCGACGAAUGGGUGAUGACUUCAUAAAACCUGAGCGUAAUGGGGUGGAGGGACAAGAAAAACAAACAACAAAAAAACAAGAAGAAAAAUGCCCCCAAAACAGCAGAAACCAGACCAAUAAAAUCUCAUUCCAAUCAUGGAACAAAUCGUGUAGAUUUUUUUUUUUUUUUUUCCCUGGGAGCAGAUUUCAGCUAGGGCAACAUUUCUUUAAGGUAUUGAUUAGCAAUUAGAGAGGUGUUUUAGCUGCUUCUCUGCUGUGUCCCUGUCAUUCCCUCCAGAAUUUCAAUUCCACGAGUACUAUUUCCAUCCUGCAGCGGAGCCAGGCGAGAAUCACUGCCCAACCCCACAGCUCCAGGCACUCCCUGCUGCUAAAGGAUUUGGGGUGGAGUGGGGUCCAGCUUCAGAAAAAAUAGAAAACCCUGAAAAGGAUGAAAAAUAAUCUUGAUUUGAGCCAGGAGGUGGUGGAUGGCUUGGAAUACAUUGGGCACGGGGCUGGGGUGUAGGAGUCUGCUUAACUCACAGAGUUUUAUCAGCCAGAGCUUUGGUUUGCCCCAUAGGCGCUAUAUCAGCAGCCAUCCCACUCAGCAUGAAGGGCAGCAACCAGGAGAGGAGGCUCUGUGGAACAGAUUACCCAGAGAAGCUAUGGGUGUCCCAUCCCUGGAGGUGCCCAAGGCCAAGCUGGGAGGGGGGGCACCCAUUUUACAGCAGAGGCAGGGCUUUAAGGUCCCUUCCAACCCAACCAUCCCAUGGUUCUAUGAUCUUUAAGGUCCCUUCCAACCCAACCAUCCCAUGGUUCUGUGAUCUUUAAGGUCCCUUCCAACCCAACCACUCCAUGGAAAUAUGAUCUUUAAGGACCCUUCCAACCCAAACAUUCUAUGAUUCUAUGAUUCUACAAAGAUACCAAUGAAGACUUGCACUGAAAACCAUCAAACUCAAAACACAUUGCCUUCAAUAAUCAACAGAGGGAAGCCACCAUCACCUCCCACAAAGGAGUGGCCAGUCUUUUCCUCUAGUGGUAAUUUUCCUGCCUUUUUAUUUGGUUCCACUUAAAAUGGGGAUUCUUAAGAGCAAGAAAAAUAACAAACGGAUUUCUCUUCAGAUAAUUCAUAAGGGCUCCGAGUGCAUUGUAAAUGCAUGCCUUUAUCCAACAGGCAAUUUGAUGUAUUUCAUAGACUGCUUUUGUAUCAGUUUGCUGCACAAUAUCCUCUAUGGAAAUUGUGGCUGGCUUAAUGCUCUCUUUAGCAAACAGCGUAAUUGCCCCCUGCAAUUUGUUGCCUGGAAAGGUUACUGGAAAAAAAAAAAGAAAAAAAAAAGGAGGGGAGAGAAGAUCAACUUUGGUGGCUGGAGAAUGAAGGAGGAGAGAGAGAAUUCCAGCAGCAUUUGAGAUGAGAUUUAUUCUGGGCCAAGGAAUGCAAUUACAGAGUGGCACAGCCCGAUCCCACCCAACCCCACUGCUGGCAUGGGGUGUUCCCCAGCAUGACCCGAAUCACAGUGAACACGUGCACAGGCAUUGAGCUGCAAGGAUGAGAUGCACAGAGCAUCGAUCCCACAGCAGCGAAAGGGCAGGUGGCAAAACUGAGGGAGGAGACGGCAGUGGGAUGGAAAGAGGAAACCCCAACAGAAAGGGAUGGGAGCAGAGGGGUGGCUGCAGCAGGAGAGGGAGAGGGAGGAUGCAGAGGGGAGCGCGGGAGGCGCGGAGACGGCAGGCAGUGUUUAUUAAUUUUCUGCUUGGCUGCCUUUGGUGCCAUAGCUCCGAGAUCAUGGAGCCGCUCCACACUCUAUUAAAUAAUUCAAUCUGCGAAGAAUCCAAGUGUGUAAGCGAACACUCUUAUGCGUCUUAAAAUUUAAUUGCAGAGCUAAACAAGAUUAAGUGCAAGGAAGACAUAAAAGAUAUGAAAAUAGAUGCCGGGGCUUUUGUUUCUCUCGCUGCCCGAGCCCUGCACAGGAACCUUUCCCCAUUUUUCACACUGCUCCGCUAAAGAGCCUGAGCCUCUUUCAUCUGCUACCCCCUCCCUUUGUUCUAUUUACAGCUGUGUUUGCAAGCAGCGGGCUCGCAAAUCACUUAAUAUCCAUUAGAGCAGCUCCAUUCACCCUGCUCUAGGCUCCUGCUCCAGCAGCCUUUCUGCUACAAAUCCUCACGCUCAAGGCUUUCAGCAACCAGCUCCGAACUGGAGCCCCCAGAUUGGAGCCCACCACCACCACCUCUCUCUCACCAGGUGACCAUUGCUCAGAUGUGAGCGCUGCAGAUUUGCUUUGAACACCCACAGUGCACAAAGCACCUGGUCCUGCCCCAAAGCUGCACGUCUGCACGUAGGACCCAACCAGCACCUCCCAGGGCAAUGCUCAGCUCCCAGCUGCCCGGCUUGCAAGGGCAGUGUUGGGGUGCAGAGAGGGAACAUGGGGCUGAGUUCUCGCAGGGUCUGUUCCCAGCACUGCUGCUUCUUUUGCUCACAGCUGCAACGGUGUUUGGAGCUGAGCAUCGCCGGGGAUGGUGGAGAGGGAAGCGAGGAGGAGGGAUUAUGGGGGAGGAACGGGGGAAUGGAGAGCUGCCUGCGUGCUCAUGGUUUAAUAGGAAGAGCCCUGUUCCUGCUCACUGAGCAUGCUGCCCAUUAGCUCCUGAUGUGGGCCAGCACCUUUGAGCACUUCUACAGGGAGGAGAAUAAAAGCCAAGCGGGGCCAGAGGAGCAAGCAAAGCCUCAGCGCAUGGGAGGAAAAUGUCACGCCAUUUUACAGACGUGGAAACUGGGAUCCAUUGAGGCCAAUAAGUCACACACACAGGGGUUGGUGGAGGAAGGAGAAUGCCUGCUGGUUCCCAAAGUACAGGACCCAAAGAGAUCCCAUCCCCUCACCUGCAACAGAGAGCAGUGCAGACACAGCUUUGGGGCGAUAAGUGUUUCAUGAGCAUCUCAGCUUUUAACUAGAGUUGCCAUCAACUCCACGCAGGGAGGGAAAGGAGCAUCUAAAACACUUUCCGUGUUGAAGUCACGAGGAGCAGAUGCAGGGGGGUACUGCCAUGCUGUGCUCUGACGCAUGCCUUGACCCAUCUCCAGCAGCUCACCUGCCAUCACCCACAGCCAGGACCAUCCCUGCCCCACAUAGCUCAGCACCAGCAUCCAUUGGGGGUCAGCCCUCCAGCACGGCUGGUGCUGCAGGAGAUGCUGAGCUGUUGGUAAUGUCACCCGGACCGUGGGAACGGCUGCGUGCCAUUCGUUCCCUCCUGCAAAAUGUCACAGCGAAAAGGAAAUGUGGCACCGAGUCGGAGCGUUUUCAUAUCUUUGCCGAGAGAUCAAUCAAAAUGCUGUUUCUUCACAGGGAAAGCAAUCUCAGACACCUCCCGCAAGCCUGCCUUCACCCAAACAGGGCGUCGCGGAGAUCUCAUCUCUGUUAUUACAUGAGCUCACAGGUGUAUUAAUAUAAUUACUUGCAAAGGGCAACAAGUGAGACCUGAGGCUACUUUGUCUUCAUCUGCUUUGCUGCCGGGCUCAUAGCUGUUGAUGGCUGCUGUUACACCGGCUGUUGGGAAUGCAAACUGCCACUAAGCCACGUUUUCACUGUCUGAAAUCUCACGCAAAGCCUCUCCCGCCCCAAAAGAAGGGGGACAGCUUGCUGGGUGAGGGGACAAGCAGCAGAACGAUCUGCGAGAGCACUGUGCUGCUGCACAAACCCCGUGCCCCAGCACUGGGACGGACAGCACACAGCACUGCUCAGAUCCAGGCAACUCCCCCCCAGUACAUGGAGGGGUCACUCAUUUCCCAAGCCCCAUCCAAUGCGCCUCGCACACCUCCCCACGCGUGCCCCCCCGGUGACAGAUUGCUGUUAUAACAUUUAUGGUGAUUGAUGGAUGGCAUAGCAACAAGUGAAUUAACCAGGCGCGCGCGCUGACAUGAGUGGCGGUAAAUGUCAUAAAAGAUCAACCAUUAUAUUCCAAGCAUGGCUUUCCAACCGCUGAGCGAAACCAAUUGAGGUGAUUUAGUGGAAAUGAAGACUGCAGAGAGCACGCAGAGGAGAAGAGGAAGUUUGGAGCAGUGCUGAACUCUGCACAGAGCCUCGCACAGCACUGCAGCGUCGCUACCCAUCAGAUUAUCUCCACUGGGGACAGUUCUGGGGUCAGCCCAUGUGCCGCAGCCCAGCGCAUCCCAAUGGACCAACCCACCAAGAGCUGGGCUGAACCCAACCCUUCCAACAGGACAAAUCCAACCAACCUGUAUUCCAAAGACAUCUGCCCCCCCCAAAAAUAACAUCGUUUUGCUGCAGUGGCACUUUAAAUCUCGAGCAAUUGUAAAACCAAUUUGCACUUAGGAACGUUCAAUUUGUUUGCAGGUGUUUUCCCCUUAAGUUGCGCUGGGUAAUGCAGGCGGGUGCUGCAAAGCUCGCUGCAAAGUGGGUCCAGCACUGCGCUGAUCUGAGUGUGAAUUGGAAGGCACGACAGCGGGAUGCUGAGCUUCUCCAUCAGGGAAAUUAAUUUGAAGGAGCUGGGUGAGAUGUGGCCAGGGCAGAGCUGGGUCACCUGUGUGCACACGCUGCUUUCCUAAUGGAAAAAGGGACCACGGUCCUUUGGAGGCAGCAAGGAGGAGACCCACGAUGGCAAAGUCAGGGCUGGUUGUCAUCAUCUGAGGGACAGCAGAGGACAAAGGCCGAUGACAGAGAGGGCCAAAGGAGCGGGCAGCAGGGCUGCCCAGAAGCCGUGUGUGCAGGGUUAACAAGCAAUCAGUGGAUGCUUUAAUUAACUAAAUGAAAUUGACUUAAUUAAAUGCGGUUACUAAGAGGUCCCACGUGUCACAUGUCACUGGUUAGAGCUGAGGGUGCCAACAAGUGCAACAACCUCAGCUCUUCACGAAAGGAGUUCAAGCCAAUGAGUCUGCAAGAAAAUCCCCAAUUUCAGCUUUGGUCUGAGGCAUUCCGCUGUUCUUUCCUAACCCACCCAAACUCAAUCACCCAAAUUGCUGUGAUUUCCCCCACAUUUCUCAAGGGCACUCAUACAGCACACAGCAAGGGCAGAUUUGCCCAAAGCAGAGCAUCUCCAUCUCACGCAACAUCAGUGAGAAGCCACAGAAGGGCCCCAAAUCCCAUUCCCACACCGACAGCGGUGCAGCGCCGUCAGAGCCUCCACGUGUGCUGUCAGAGGGAGCUCAGCCCGCAGACAUCUGCGUCACAGCGGCUUUCUCUUCCCUAAACCUAUUUGCUGCCAGCACGGAGUGACGUGGCUGGAGCUGAGAGUGGGAUUACUGGUAAAGCUGGGAAGUGCUCUGCUGCAUAAUGAGGGUCACAGAGCAUCCAUGAUGAAGCUGCACUGCUGGCACGGGGUGAGGAUGCAGAGUCUCCCCAUGAGAUUUCCUCUUUGCAGCAGGGCAGAACAAGACCCAGCAGGAGGAGGAGCGACCAAACCCAAACCCAACUCAUCCAUCACCUUAACCGGCCACGCUGACGCCCGGAGCUGCUCUCCCUCACCUUGCAGCCAGCUGCCACGCAGUGCUCAGCUAUUGAUCCUCCGGAUGCCCGUGUGAUUGGAGUCUGAAAUCUAAUGCCUACGAAGUCCAGCCAAACCCAAACCUCUCAAAUCAUGUUGACACGUUUAGGAGGUGCUGGGCGCUUCAUCCUCGCCGGUCCGAUAUGUAAUUAUGUAAGUGUCACCAUGAUGUAGGUGUUUGGCAGGGCAAUAAAGCCCCCGGAGCCCUGACAGCCGCCGCUGCCGUUCCACGCUGCCCGCGAGAGCGCUUGCUGCCAAUUUCUUUCUGUAGUUAGACUGGAGGAAAUAGAGCUCAAUAAAGCUGUGUGUGGAUCACGGAGGAAAGUUUGUCUUGAAAAAUGGGUGGAGGAGAUGUCGGAGCACUGCUGUCACCCCAGGCCUGCACGGGUUUAAGUGUUAUUCGCUUUCUGUGCUGCUUGCCAGGCAACACGGUUGGCUGGAGAUGCAGGAUCCAACCCCACGCCUUCCAUUUCUCCACCCCACAGCUUCAGUACACUUCACGUGGCAGCUGCCAGGUCCCACCUCAGCUCCCAUUGCCUUCCUCUGCACAUAGGGCUGGGGGGUCUGGGAGCAUGGCACAACUCCCAGCAGCUCCAGGGCUCCUCAGUGCCAUCAGGUUGCAGUUGAUGCCCCUCAUUGCCAGCCACAGCCCAUCGGUGGCUGCCGGUUGUCAGACCCACAUCAGCCCUUCGGCCAGCAGGGCUGCAGCAGCCAUGGCAAAUUCUGGAUGCCAUCCAGAGAGACACAGACAGGCAGCGCAGUGAGGAGAACCUCGUGAGGUUCAACAAAGCCAAGUGCAAGGGUCAUGGUAACCCGCAGUGUCAGUACAAGCUGGGGGUGUAAGGAUGGAGCACAGCCCUGCCAAAAAGGGUCUGGGGGUACUGAUGGGUGGCAGCUGGGGAUGAGCCAGCACUGUGCCCUCACAGCACAGAAAGCCAACUGUAUCCUGGGUGCACCCCUCCCGGAUUCCCUAAUUCCUCCAAAGCACUCAAAGCUUUACUGCUGCCUGGGACACCCCCUGCCAGCUGCAGCCAUGAGCGGGGUGCUGGGAGGCAGUGGGGCUGCACUCCUGGCUGAUGUUCCCCCAAAGAGCACAAACAAUUCCCAGCAGUUCAGUUCCUCCCAUCAGGGCUCAGGAAGCAUGACUGCUCCUCACUAAUACGUCUUUUGCUUGAUGAGCUGUCGAUGGCAGGAGGAUUUAAUCUCCCAUACCCUUUCUCUCUCCCAAAUCCACUAAGGUGAAGGCACUUCAUUACAGAACCACUCAGCUGUCUGUUCCCAUCGAUCACGCUUUGGCAUGGGUGACCUCGGAUCGAUAGGCUGCCGAUUAUUUAGUGCAUGUUCACCCAUGUCAAAUGCCAGCAGGGCAGGCAUGGUGCUGCCUGAGUGAGGAACCUGGCACUGCUCCAUCCCAAACAGCUCACGGGCAGUAGCGGAGCCCCACGGCCGCUCUAUAUCAAUUCAGGAUGCCGAGCAGAGGGAGGAAGGCAGUUCCCCCCACUUUGCUCUCAAGCCAAACCCCUGUGCUGUAACUACCUGAUGAUUCAUCCGCCUCCAAGAGAUGUCCCUUCCAACCAGCCGCAGUCUGACUUUUUAAUCAAAUCCUUUGCUUCCUUCUCCCCGUAGAGCCAAAGCCGUUUUUCUAUUACAUACUGAUUGAUCAAGCCUUCGCAAGCAGGCUGUCAGCAUCUUCCUGAUCCCUCAUUUCCAGUCCCCACACACAGCAGGUUGCAGGGCUGAGCCCGCUCGCUCCAGCAGCAGCAAACAGAUACAUAAAUGCACGCAAUUAGGGGGAGGAGGCGGGGAGGAGACGUGGAUCCUGCUUUGGAUUUUAUGCCCCCAGCCCAUAAGUUUAUGUUAUAGAGUAGGCAGUGUUAGCACUAAAACACGUGAGCAGGGGAGAAGGACACGGGGGUGAGCCCAAAAUGCUGCCUGGUGCCAGGGUAGAGAUGCUCACACCAUCCUUGCGCUGUGCAAAAAUAGAAGGAAAAUAGGAGAGUCUCCAGAGCUCCGGCAUGCCUCGUGCUAAUGAGUUGUUUUCCACAGCAAGAAAUAGUCAGAACAAGCCCAAACUCUGCUAAACAAGGGCUGUGGCCGCAACAGGCCAAAGAUCAGCUUCCCCCAAGGAGAACGUUGACGAGGAAGUAAAAAUACAAAAUGCAGCACUUCGUUCCCUUCCACCGUAUCGCCUGGCAAAUUAAAUAGCAGUGAUGUGAGUGCUGGGAAGGAAGUGAUCCCCCUCUGGAGCUGGGCUGUCCCACAGCCCCACGGCUCACGCAGGCUCGCAGCUGUUUGCUGGGAUGGGGAGCCCAAGGGAAGCGGUGCUGCAUUGCAGCCCUGUGCUGCUAUGGAUGCAGGGAAGUGGGAGAGGGCUUUACUCCUGCACAGCACAGGGCAGGUGCAAAGGUGGCAGCAGCCCCAGCACCGGAGC
rnacentral:lncRNA from 1 species